GCGCCUGCGACGUGCCCCGCACGAGGCCUCUCCGACCUUCCGAGGGCAGGCCCCCGGGCCCACCGGGGUCCUCCGGGAAGAUUCCGCCCUCCGCCCCAUCUCCCUCCCUGCUCCGCCCGACUCUUCUAUCUCUGAUGUCCGGUUUCACUCCGACUGGGGGCUGGUCAUAGCCUCCCCCUGGCAUUACUCAGACUGUAGAGCUGGGCUUCCAUCUGGGACACUCCCUGCCCUCCACACCUCUCUGCUCCUACCUUAUGCCAGAUGCUGGAGGCAAAAAACCCCUGGCUGGGGCAGACCCGUGGUCAGACUGACGGUAACGCUGGCCAUGGCAAGGAGGCCUUAGGCUUCUGAGGGACACCCCCAACACUUUGCGUCACCCAUGGGGAACAGAGAUGAGGCAGCUGAGGCCCUGAGAGGCUUCUGGACUCGCCCGGCUCUCUCAGAGGGACUGCCAGGGGCGAGGGGACUGCACCCACCUGAGGAUCUGGACCUGUGAAGUGGGGAGCCGGUGAUUCCCUGAAGCAUUGCGCCCUCGUCAUUGCCACCCAGCCCCUCCCUGGCGCCCUCAUUAGGAGCGAAUGAAACAAGGGUGGCCGGAGGAAGCUGGGGAGAGAACACUUUUUAAGAACUGCUGGGGAAAAGCUUAGCUGGGUUCUUAUG
ensembl:lncRNA